CUCGCGUUGGUCGGCAGCUGCUGAGAUGUCCGAGCUGCGCCGGCGGGAAACGCGAGGGUGAGGAGUGCCGGUAACAUCAUUAUGAAAAGCUAUUUUCAGGCGUAACCCGAAUCUACCAGUGCAACAGCGUUAACGUGGUUAUGGGCAGGCCUUUGUUUAAGAAAAGAAUCGAGCACUAAUUUUACGUGAGCCGAUGCGCUACAAUUGCUCGAUUGCAAACCCCGCAGUGCCAUCGGCCUCAAACCGCUCCCCGUGUAAAAGCGCACCUGUGCCUUUAACGAGCUUUUGCAAGUCAUUGGUGAGCAGCGUCCGAGAGCCCGAGCAGUGCGCGCGGGGCCGGCUGAUGGCUGCGCCGUGUCCCCGGCAGCUGGGAGAGAUCGGAGCCCCGCUGGGCAGUUUUUUAGUGUGCAAAAUGCAGCGCGUUUGUGUUGGCUGGAUCAGUGGGAUAGACUGCAGUAAUUGCUCAAAGCUGAGUAGGGUCAAACGCAGACUGAUAGAGCUACCCUAAUUCCUGGCCUCUUCUGUUUCCCAAAUUAGAGCUGGAAGUGGCUCCAAAGACAGCAGUGGAGCUAUUCAGGAUGAAACAGGUGCAGAGCAUCGGUGGCAACAGCGAUCUGGUGUGAUCCAUAUCGGAACUUUGAAUUUCCAGAAGCUAAUUUGGCUGCAUGCCUCUCACAGAAAGCAACGUAAAGAAACUUGUUCUAAUUAAAUAGCUCAGAUGACACCUGACCUGCUGUGAUUUCAACAGCCCUUACUGGCCAUUCAUUCAGGCGGCUGCUAGGAGCCCAGUGCCUGGGGGAUUUGUGUCACAUUUGUGUCCCAGAGGCAAAGAGGAAACUGGAGAAAUUAAAGGAAGUUAAGAGGGUCGAGGUGCAGAUUCAGACCAAGAGCUUGUCUUGAGCAACAUGCUGCAAGCAAUUGUGCCUGGUGUGCAAGACCCAGGAGCAUUUUGUUGUUCACCACACUGCAUCUGGAGGGGCUGAGGAUCAGCUGUGCAGGAUGAGGUGGGCAGAUAUUAAAGGAGUCCCUCAUCUGAAGCCUGGAAUACCUGCACUACUCAGGACUGAGAACACACAUCAUUGUGACCAACAUUGUCUACACUGAGUGAUGGGCAACAGAUUUCAUCUAGUAUAACCUGAGUGUGCUGGUGGCAGCUUAGGACAGCAUCGGACCAUCCUGACUUACUGCUGUUCACAAUCAAGAAUGUCAGUAACCAUGGACCUCCCCUGCCACAUUACCUGCAUCAGAAAGACAGCCUGCCCAACAAAGAGCUCUCUCAAAUGUGGAAAAACUGAAGGAGCUUUGUUGUUUUAUCAUUAAAACUUUGCUAAAUUAAAAAGCAUGUAUGGAAAAAUAGAUACUCUCAGGGAAGAGAGAGAACAGAUGUACGUAGGAUACAUCCCCUGGGAAGUCUCCAGUCUUCCUUCUGAAACUCUCCAAGCUGUGGAAACCAAGUGUCUUCAGCUGUCUGUACUGACCAGGCCACUAUUCUUCUCCCAUCAGUGUAAUGUCCUUCUACAAUCUUUUUCUUUCUUUCAAAUUGACAUUUAAAAAAAUAAAGUCCUUCGCUAUUUCUAUAAUUGCUUUCCAAGAUAUCCCCUGUCCGUUAGGCUGACUUUCCAUCCUGUCUUUCAACUUGGCAAAUCUAAUUCCCUCAAUCCCCUCAUGCCUUUUAGAUAUGCUAAUGUAAUAUGUUUUCCAAACAGAUAUUUAAAUUAAACCUUUUAAUUAAGUUAGUUGAACCAGUGUACCAGUGGCCAUAUCCCUGCCAGCUGGUAUGUCAGUACCUGCAAUAUUAUUUACCUACUUAAUAAAAUUCUGUUGCCUGAA